rnacentral:tRNA from 1 species
CACUAAGAAGCUAAACAGCAUUAGCCUUUUAAGCUAAAGAGGGGGCCUCAGCCCCCUUAGUGA